CCGGCGAUGUCCGAAUGGGGAAACCCAGUGCAAUUCGUUGCACUAUCGUUAACUGAAUACAUAGGUUAACGAGGCGAACCGGGGGAACUGAAACAUCUAAGUACCCCGAGGAAAAGAAAUCAACCGAGAUUCCCCCAGUAGCGGCGAGCGAACGGGGAGCAGCCCAGAGUCUGAAUCAGCUUGUGUGUUAGUGGAACGGUCUGGAAAGUCCGACGGUACAGGGUGAUAGUCCCGUACACCAAAAUGCACAGGCUGUGAACUCGAAGAGUAGGGCGGGACACGUGGUAUCCUGUCUGAAUAUGGGGGGACCAUCCUCCAAGGCUAAAUACUCCUGACUGACCGAUAGUGAACCAGUACCGUGAGGGAAAGGCGAAAAGAACCCCGGCGAGGGGAGUGAAAAAGAACCUGAAACCGUGUACGUACAAGCAGUGGGAGCACCUUCGGGUGUGACUGCGUACCUUUUGUAUAAUGGGUCAGCGACUUAUAUUCUGUAGCAAGGUUAACCGUAUAGGGGAGCCGCAGGGAAACCGAGUCUUAACUGGGCGUUAAGUUGCAGGGUAUAGACCCGAAACCCGGUGAUCUAGCCAUGGGCAGGUUGAAGGUUGGGUAACACUAACUGGAGGACCGAACCGACUAAUGUUGAAAAAUUAGCGGAUGACUUGUGGCUGGGGGUGAAAGGCCAAUCAAACCGGGAGAUAGCUGGUUCUCCCCGAAAGCUAUUUAGGUAGCGCCUCGUGAACUCAUCUUCGGGGGUAGAGCACUGUUUCGGCUAGGGGGUCAUCCCGACUUACCAACCCGAUGCAAACUACGAAUACCGAAGAAUGUUAUCACGGGAGACACACGGCGGGUGCUAACGUCCGUCGUGAAGAGGGAAACAACCCAGACCGCCAGCUAAGGUCCCAAAGUCAUGGUUAAGUGGGAAACGAUGUGGGAAGGCACAGACAGCCAGGAUGUUGGCUUAGAAGCAGCCAUCAUUUAAAGAAAGCGUAAUAGCUCACUGGUCGAGUCGGCCUGCGCGGAAGAUGUAACGGGGCUAAACCAUGCACCGAAGCUGCGGCAGCGACACUAUGUGUUGUUGGGUAGGGGAGCGUUCUGUAAGCCUGCGAAGGUGACCUGUGAGGGUUGCUGGAGGUAUCAGAAGUGCGAAUGCUGACAUAAGUAACGAUAAAGCGGGUGAAAAGCCCGCUCGCCGGAAGACCAAGGGUUCCUGUCCAACGUUAAUCGGGGCAGGGUGAGUCGACCCCUAAGGCGAGGCCGAAAGGCGUAGUCGAUGGGAAACAGGUUAAUAUUCCUGUACUUGGUGUUACUGCGAAGGGGGGACGGAGAAGGCUAUGUUAGCCGGGCGACGGUUGUCCCGGUUUAAGCAUGUAGGCUGGUUAUCCAGGCAAAUCCGGAUAAUCAAGGCUGAGGUGUGAUGACGAGGCACUACGGUGCUGAAGUAACAAAUGCCCUGCUUCCAGGAAAAGCCUCUAAGCAUCAGGUAACAUCAAAUCGUACCCCAAACCGACACAGGUGGUCAGGUAGAGAAUACCAAGGCGCUUGAGAGAACUCGGGUGAAGGAACUAGGCAAAAUGGUGCCGUAACUUCGGGAGAAGGCACGCUGGUGUGUAGGUGAAGUCCCUGCGGAUGGAGCUGAGACCAGUCGAAGAUACCAGCUGGCUGCAACUGUUUAUUAAAAACACAGCACUGUGCAAACACGAAAGUGGACGUAUACGGUGUGACGCCUGCCCGGUGCCGGAAGGUUAAUUGAUGGGGUUAUCCGUAAGGAGAAGCUCUUGAUCGAAGCCCCGGUAAACGGCGGCCGUAACUAUAACGGUCCUAAGGUAGCGAAAUUCCUUGUCGGGUAAGUUCCGACCUGCACGAAUGGCGUAAUGAUGGCCAGGCUGUCUCCACCCGAGACUCAGUGAAAUUGAACUCGCUGUGAAGAUGCAGUGUACCCGCGGCAAGACGGAAAGACCCCGUGAACCUUUACUAUAGCUUGACACUGAACAUUGAGCCUUGAUGUGUAGGAUAGGUGGGAGGCUUUGAAGCGUGGACGCCAGUCUGCGUGGAGCCAACCUUGAAAUACCACCCUUUAAUGUUUGAUGUUCUAACGUUGGCCCCUGACCGGGGUUGCGGACAGUGUCUGGUGGGUAGUUUGACUGGGGCGGUCUCCUCCCAAAGCGUAACGGAGGAGCACGAAGGUUAGCUAAUCCUGGUCGGACAUCAGGAGGUUAGUGCAAUGGCAUAAGCUAGCUUGACUGCGAGCGUGACGGCGCGAGCAGGUGCGAAAGCAGGUCAUAGUGAUCCGGUGGUUCUGAAUGGAAGGGCCAUCGCUCAACGGAUAAAAGGUACUCCGGGGAUAACAGGCUGAUACCGCCCAAGAGUUCAUAUCGACGGCGGUGUUUGGCACCUCGAUGUCGGCUCAUCACAUCCUGGGGCUGAAGUAGGUCCCAAGGGUAUGGCUGUUCGCCAUUUAAAGUGGUACGCGAGCUGGGUUUAGAACGUCGUGAGACAGUUCGGUCCCUAUCUGCCGUGGGCGCUGGAGAAUUGAGGGGGGCUGCUCCUAGUACGAGAGGACCGGAGUGGACGCAUCACUGGUGUUCGGGUUGUCAUGCCAAUGGCACUGCCCGGUAGCUAAAUGCGGAAGAGAUAAGUGCUGAAAGCAUCUAAGCACGAAACUUGCCCCGAGAUGAGUUCUCCCUGAGACUUUAAGUCUCCUGAAGGAACGUUGAAGACGACGACGUUGAUAGGCCGGGUGUGUAAGCGCAGCGAUGCGUUGAGCUAACCGGUACUAAUGAACCGUGAGGCUUAACCUUACAACGCCGAAG
rnacentral:rRNA from 1 species